GGCUGUUCCCGCCGGGCUCGCUGCUUCUCCGGAGGAUGGCAUUCUGCCCUUGGAGAUGCAGGUUUGUGGGUCCAUUUCUUCUCUGCCCAAGGAGACAGAAAGUUUUAUGAACAUUCUGCAUCCAGUCCUUGAGAAGUGAGUAUGUGCCUUCAGUCUGGAGCACUGAUGCUGGAAGCAGUGCUUUGCACAGUUGUGAACAUCCAAUUUUGUUGGCUCCAGGUGAUGGCUGCAAUCCAUGGCUGGUGGUGUGUCCAGGGCAAUGUGAUGCUGAUCCUGUCUGGCAUUCCUGUCACCCUGUUGCCCAGGCCAGCAUAUGAAGGUGCUCCCGAAGCUCCUCCAAGACAUUUUGUGGGAAACAUGAUUACAUUCAUACCAGCCUUUGAAUCUACAAAGCACAGGGGACUGCUGGACAGUCACAGGACACACACCCCACUGGGUGGGCUGGCAUUCAGAUGGGGUGGACACAAACGGGGUAUGGGAUGUGUGUACACAGCCAGCCCCUCCUUGUGCUGGAUGCAGUAAUGUAAAGAGCUGUGUGGUGUGAAAGUUUCAGAGGGAUGGAAAAGAAAGGAAGGACAGGAAGUAAGCACAUGUUCAUGCUGCAUGCAAGGUGUCCCAGAGGAUGCUGUUCUGUACUCCCCAGUCACAUGUGGCCAUCCAGAAAGAACUGAGUCAGUGUGCUCAAGCACUCCUGCUGCCGGCAGGAGCAGCUCCGCUGGGAUGCACCGGUUACAUGAGUCAGAACCAGUCCUUUCCUGAGUGAAAAGCAAGUGCAAAAGCAAUAACUCUUUGCUUUUGUUAUGAAAUAUAGCAGCAAUUUGAUCUGGCAUCCCUUGAAUGGGGUGGCCCCCGUACUAGAAGAAGAAUGCCAGAAAUGCAACUGCUCCAGAAUUGCAGUCCUCUUGCACAAAGACUCAGCCCUGCAGGGGUGUACAGGCUCUGAGAACUCAAAUGACAAAUGCUCUCCUUGGGUUCAGCAAGAGCUGGGGCUGGCAAGAGUGAAAGAGCCAUCACUCUCCCAUAUCAAGCAAGAAGCUUCAGAGACUACAGAAAAUUUGCAAAUUUUCUUGCAGAUUCUUAUAAGUUCUUGCAAAUCCAACAAAACCAGGAUAAAAUGCAGGUGCUCAGUGGCUCGGGUGCCGUGAUGUUGUUGCUUCUCUGCGUCCCAGAUCCUUGCUGUCACUGCAGUAGAACUGCAUAGUUACUCUGACAUGUCCUGGCAACGACUGUGAAGUGAAAAGGCUUUGGCAGACAAGUCCUCGAUUGCCCCAGUUUUCUUAGACUCAAAUAGGUUAAUGUCCUUCUUUCCUCUCUGAUGCUAACAAGUUUGCUUUAUUAAACCCUUCCCCCUUGGAUGCUGGGGCACUGACUCUAGAGCUUUCAAGACCAGAAAAGUGGUCUCCUGCUAAAUCGCAAUCAGCCUUCUACAAACAGUUGCUUAUAUAGGAAAGGAGCAGGACAACUGGAGACUGUGAGAUCUGGGAACUGAGCAAAGUAUCCUGAGGGAACACCAUGUGGCUCAAGUCAUAGAAAGGGAUUAUGGUUGUUUCAGGCUCUAGAAGUGUACAGUAUUCACAUUAUUGCACUGGUACCAUUUGUAGGAAUUCAGAGCAACCAUGGUCAGGAAUCCCUAGAUAAUGGAAACACCAUUGAUCUUGUACUGAGUAAUCCCACUGCCUCAGGAGCAAGGGAGUGGGAUUAUUCCUUCAGCAGCGAUUUAUGGUCAUUGUAGCAGCCACCAAAUUACAUUUGUGAGGAACAGAAGGGCAGCAAAUGUCUACUUAAGGCUGUAGCCACUGUGUAGCUGCCCAAACCCCUCUUGGGUUUUGCCUCAUCUUUCUUCAGGACUUCCUUUGUAUCAGGAGAGGACAGUGAGGAUGGUCCACCUGAACAACCUGCAGAAAGGGACCAAUCAGAGCUCUCACUCACUGACUUUUCAAUCACUUGCCCAGGCAGCACAGUGUCUGAGACUGAGCAAAGAACAGACUACAAAGCAGUGAAGGAGCCAGCGUGUCAGUCCAGUCACUGAUUGCCAAACCCUCCUUCCAGAAAGGUGACUGUGUGGACCUCCUGAAGGAAAAAGUUCAACCACUUUUAGUGGAAAACUAUGGCCUGAAGGUGAGCCAAUGCUUGAGUUUUACGGCCAUCUCUCUUCCUCUAUCCACCCAUUCAUUUCUCCCCUACUGCAGCAAUGGCAACAUAUUAUCUCACAUCUACAAGAUUUAUUGCUUGUAAAACCUUGAGUCUGGGCAGACAUCCAUAUAUGCUGUCCUUUUCUUUUUUUUAUUCCCAUAUGUGAGUGUCGUACCCUGUGGGUGGUGACGGAAUCACGUAUGGUGUGCAUGACCUUGUUGUAUUUACCAUCAAUGCUGUAGCUGCUACCUUUGCCUCCUUCUGAAUAUUUUAUCAGGAAGGUGGGGAGAGGGACAAUAUUGCUGUAUCUUUCUUAUCUUUGUAUUUCACCCGAUUGUUCUGUGGUUACUGGUGUGCUCAGGAGUUGGAGCAUUAUCUGUAUCGGUAUUUGGCUAUUAGGCUGGUGGCAGGUGGGCAGGUAUUUUUACUGAGUCAUGGGACUCAAGUGUGGUGUUUAUAAAUACACCUGUCACCCCAUCAUUCCCCCCUGCACUUGUUUCUGGAAGCAUUUAACAUGAUUAUGUCCAUUCAGGUAUCUGCAUGAAAAACCAUAUGCUCAGGUUAGUGCAAAGCUAUGCACUUCUUAAUGACUGUAUUUUUUUAGUAGGGGUCAAAAUAAGCUACAGCAGUUACUUCUGCAGCCAGAGCAGAAGGGAACUGAGCAGCAUGGUCUACUUGCUGGGUGAACCCAGGUGACCACAACUGCGGGAAGGUCACAGAGCCUCCGAAACAGAGACUGCAGAUCUGCGGGAACCAGUGGAGAGGACCACCCUUCCCAUUUCCUGCCCAGCUAGUGACUAGUUGCUUUCUAGGCAGCUGAUAAGAUAUGCACAAGAAAAAGAUGCAGAUACCUUCCCCUCAAAACCCUGCUUGGCUGUACAGGACAAGAGCUUCAAAAAGGAUGAAAUAUAAAAGGACCUAAACCUAGCACAACUGCAUUGGUCCUGUGUUAAAAGCUGAAUAGUGUAGUAUAAAGCACAUACAAAAUGAGAAAGGAAUGAGCAUUUUGCACCCUGUGGAGAGUUGGACUCUUAGAAAGACUUUCUUCCAAAGAUGAUUUUUUUUUUUUACUUUUAAUAAGAGCAGAUUAUUCUCAUCUGCAAAGCUAGGGCAAAAUCAGUCCAAGUGGCAACUAUGUUCAUCAUCACUGCCUUUCUUUGUGGAGAUAUCAGAAGAAAGAGU